UGCAGUCGAACGAUGAGCCCUUCGGGGUGGAUUAGUGGCGAACGGGUGAGUAACACGUGGGCAAUCUGCCCUUCACUCUGGGACAAGCCCUGGAAACGGGGUCUAAUACCGGAUACCACUCCUGCCUGCAUGGGCGGGGGUUGAAAGCUCCGGCGGUGAAGGAUGAGCCCGCGGCCUAUCAGCUUGUUGGUGGGGUAAUGGCCCACCAAGGCGACGACGGGUAGCCGGCCUGAGAGGGCGACCGGCCACACUGGGACUGAGACACGGCCCAGACUCCUACGGGAGGCAGCAGUGGGGAAUAUUGCACAAUGGGCGAAAGCCUGAUGCAGCGACGCCGCGUGAGGGAUGACGGCCUUCGGGUUGUAAACCUCUUUCAGCAGGGAAGAAGCGAAAGUGACGGUACCUGCAGAAGAAGCGCCGGCUAACUACGUGCCAGCAGCCGCGGUAAUACGUAGGGCGCAAGCGUUGUCCGGAAUUAUUGGGCGUAAAGAGCUCGUAGGCGGCUUGUCACGUCGGAUGUGAAACCCCGAGGCUUAACCUCGGGUCUGCAUUC
rnacentral:rRNA from 1 species